AUUGAACGCUGGCGGCAGGCUUAACACAUGCAAGUCGAGCGGAGAGAGGUAGCUUGCUACUGAUCUUAGCGGCGGACGGGUGAGUAAUGCUUAGGAAUCUGCCUAUUAGUGGGGGACAACAUUUCGAAAGGAAUGCUAAUACCGCAUACGUCCUACGGGAGAAAGCAGGGGAUCUUCGGACCUUGCGCUAAUAGAUGAGCCUAAGUCGGAUUAGCUAGUUGGUGGGGUAAAGGCCUACCAAGGCGACGAUCUGUAGCGGGUCUGAGAGGAUGAUCAGCCACAAUGGGACUGAGCCACGGCCCAGACUCCUACGGGAGGCAGCAGUGGGGAAUAUUGGACAAUGGGCGGAAGCCUGAUCCAGCCAUGCCGCGUGUGUGAAGAAGGCCUUAUGGUUGUAAAGCACUUUAAGCGAGGAGGAGGCUACUUUAGUUAAUACCUAGAGAUAGUGGACGUUACUCGCAGAAUAAGCACCGGCUAACUCUGUGCCAGCCGCCGCCGUAAAAC
rnacentral:rRNA from 1 species